rnacentral:rRNA from 1 species
GACGGAGGAUGCAAGCGUUAUCCGGAAUUAUUGGGCGUAAAGCGUCCGCAGGUGGCUAGUCAAGUCUGCUGUCAAAGAGCGGAGCUUAACUUCGUAAAGGCAGUGGAAACUGAUUAGCUAGAGUAUGGUAGGGGUAGAGGGAAUUCCCGGUGUAGCGGUGAAAUGCGUAGAUAUCGGGAAGAACACCAGUGGCGAAAGCGCUCUACUGGGCCAAAACUGACACUGAGGGACGAAAGCUAGGGGAGCGAAAGGG